UACGUAGGGUGCAAGCGUUGUCCGGAAUUAUUGGGCGUAAAGAGCUCGUAGGCGGUUUGUCGCGUCUGCUGUGAAAACGCGAGGCUCAACCUCGCGCCUGCAGUGGGUACGGGCAGACUAGAGUGCGGUAGGGGAGAUUGGAAUUCCUGGUGUAGCGGUGGAAUGCGCAGAUAUCAGGAGGAACACCGGUGGCGAAGGCGGGUCUCUGGGUCGGAACUGACGCUGAGGAGCGAAAGCGUGGGGAGCGAACAGG
rnacentral:rRNA from 1 species